CAUCACGCGCUCCCUCCUCCUCCCAAACCCCACCCUCCACUGCUUGCCCGCGGCUCCGGCGACAGCCGCUUUACACUCCGAUUCCCUCCACCGCCGCUCCAAAGGUCCAGGUAAGCGCGCUCCCUCCCCCUCCUCCCUCCCUCGCCCGUUCGUAGCUCCGGUGACAGCCGCCAUCGCUUCGGGCUCCAGAUCCCAGCGCCAGCGCCCCAAAGGUCAGGUAAGCGGAGGCGACUCUUCCCCUUCUCCCCCAUUCGUUUUCCUUGCUAGGGUUCGUCGUCCCCUCCUCAUUCCCUUCCCGACGAGCUCUCUCCCCAUUGCUAGGGUUCGUCGUGCUGGGGUUGGAGUAGACACGGCGGCGGUGGUGGCUCUUCCCCUUCCCCCCUCAUCCAUUUUUCCUUGCUGGGGUUUGACUAGACACAGAAAUUCCUCAUGCUGCCAUUUAGGGUUUAGGUUUGGUUCUCCUACGUUUCAACCUGAGGUAUCAAUGAUUCUGAAGCAUACGACAUAUUUUUUGCGGUACGGCAUGUAGCAACUACAAACCUGCUUGGGAUUGCUGUCUUUUGGGUCUGGGUGUGGAGGUAUUUGAAGAUAUGAAGAAUAAUGUCUGAAUUGGACCACACUAAUUGUUGUUGACAUGUUCUGCCAUAUGGAGAUGGAAAGUGAUGCCACUUUUCUUUGCAACAUUAUCAACGUCUAUCCAUUAUUAACGUCUAUCUAUAUUUGACUAUCUAAUCUUAACGACGUGAUGUUUAUUUUUCUCAUAUUCUCAAAGGGGAACACUCACAUUCCAAGCACAUCUCUCAAGGUGCCCAAGAUAUACUAAGCAAAAAUCUUGUAUCCUAAUCUGAUAACAUGCAUAAAUGUGGAUGGAAUAGGGGCAUAUGACUGGUUCAAUCAAGGCCAUGCUCCUGCUGUGACAUUUUAAUGCUAACGAAUAAGAUAUCAGCAUCGAUGAAAACAGCCUGAACAUAACCCAGGUAACCUAUGUCAGUUGUACUUACAUUUUCCAUAUAACACCAUGGUUUUAGGCUUCUAUCAAACUGAUGAAGACUGAAAUUUGUCUAAGUUUUUUUUAAAGCAUACUAACAUUCAAGACAAGAUAGCAAUAAACCAAAUCAAUACUUCUAGCUCAUUGGAAUGUCCUCCUGCCUUAUUUUAUCCGGAUUCUUUGAGAAAGAGGUAAGGUCAAUGUUUGUUUCAGUCUAAUUUUUUAGUAUGUUUUAAUUUCUUCGCAUCUGCUGAAGACUUUAAAUUUGAACUAAGUCUCAGGAGAAGCAUUUGAAUUGUUACAGAUACUUUUGGUCUCACCUAACUGUAUGGUAUUUAUAGUUUGCUCAUUUGUAUACAAUCAUUGGCUUUACAACCUUGUUUGGUCAACCCAAAAAAAAAGGUGGACAGAGACUGUCUGUUUCAUCACUCACCAAGCACACCCAACGUACAUUUAAGGAGAACAGCACAAGAAGACAAGAAGCACCUAAAUGGAAGUGAAUAAUUAAUUAACCAUGUAAAACCAUGUCCUCACACGUUUAAGUUGUUUACAUUUCCUCAUAAAUGAAUUUGUACCAAUUCAAACAAGCUUGUUAGCAAGUACGAGUAGCAUUUGUGUUAGAAAAAUACAAGAAAAAAGAUCUCUUAAGUUCUCAACUUUUGCUUGAUCUUGUGUGUUAGACUGUUAGUGUUCAUAUGGCGCAUCCCAAAUAUUCCUGUCCUGUAAUUGAACACAGACAACCCAAAUACUCCUCCUGUAAUUGAACACAAGAAUAUGUUUAGUUGAUGGUCUGGUCAUGGAGCUCAAAUUUGGUUCAAUAUGAAUUAUGAUGCUUACUGUGUACUCUAGAUAUUUAUGUUUAAUCUUUGCAAAAAAUUUUUGUUCAUUUCAGACAUGGAUGCACCCGAUUUUCCCUGCCCUCUUCUAUGCCUGUGAUAGAGUCAUCAGGAAAUUUCAUGAGAACGACUACCAUUCAAGUAUUGUGAGCAAUUUAUCUGGGAGAUGUGCUCUCUAUUCACAUGAAGAAGCCUCGGGGUUUCAAGUACUAAAGUGGAAUGCAUCUUUUUUUUGUAAAAUACCAAGUCUUGCCUUUCGACUGGUAUCAUUUUAUUAAUUAUUGCACACAUAUCCAAGAAGUAAUUUAUUUGUGGUUCUUGCUUACAGUUUUCCCAUAUAUACAGGCGCCCCUUCUCUAUAACUGUGGCACCAGGAGAUAACUACUUGACUGUGCAUAUCCGCACGCUGGGUGACCGGACAUCCAAACUUUCGAUUCUCUGAGAUUUUGAACUUUGAUGGCAGUGAAAGGGAUCAGGCUCCGAAAACAGGGAGCAAGAAUAUGUGUGUUGUCUUGCAAGUCCUCUUUCACGAAUGAGUUGCUUCUUUUAUUUUUUUAACAUCUAAAUAUCCAUUCAAAAUCAUACACAGUACUUCACUUUGUUCUUCAUGUUAUACAGUUCACUAAGUCAGAAGGAACCUUGUGCCUCCUGUGUUUCCAUGCUUUACUAUUGAACAAUGAACAUAUCUGAUUCACAAUGAUUUAGAGAACAAAACAACAAGGGGAUUAACAUUUUACUUUCACUACUUUAGACCAGCACUCCUGUCCGUUUUUUUGUAUUCAAUAAUAAAGGCCAAUUUCUGGCUUCUCUUUGCAAUAUGCUUUAUUGGGAUUGAAUCUAGAAUCACUGUUCUUAAUAAUCUAGCACAAAUAUGAACUGCUGCCAACACCACCAUCUUGCUCUUUGUCUUCAAUAUCUGGAACUUUUUUGGCUGGCUGGGGGAGGUGUUCUUAUUUCUGAAUUGAUUCAAGACAUCGAUACUCCCUUAGCCAAGGGUGAAAGGGCUAUAAAGCCAAGAAGACGAAGAAGGGUGAAGAAUUCAGGUUUUCAGAAGCAAUAGUGAAGACUAUUUUUUGGCUUCUCUUUGCAAUAUGCUUUAUUGGGAUUGGAUCCUCGAUCACUGUUAUUAAUAAUCUAACACAAAUAUGAGCUGUUGCAGAUCCUAUUGACACAACCAUCUGACUCUCUACCUUCAUUUUUUUGCAAUUUUUGGUUGCCUGGGAGGUGUUGUUGUUCCUGAGUAUCUUGUCAGGUAACAUGAUAUUUCAUAUUUACUCUUGGAAAUAAUAGCUUUUGUAUGGUGAACCAUGCACAACUAAACAUAGAAAAAACAUGUUCCUUUUGUGUUAUUCGGUGGAAUCCAACGAUAAGAUGUCUGCUACUAUCAAACUGUGUAUGAAUGAUUUAGUCUACAUUUUGGAAGUGUCAUUCACAGUUGAUUUAAUUUAUUGUUCUAUGUUGAGAACAAGAGGUCCGAAUAAUACACAUGUUGACUACAGACUGCUCAAAUCAAAUCAAGCAUACGUGCUUGAUUUUUGAGUUUCGAGCUGUCAAUGCACCUAUGGUAUCUACAUAAACGUUACUGGUUAAGGUGUGUAUGUGGGUAUGCAUCAUGGGUUGUUUGUUAUUAGCAUUGAUGGACAAGCUGUGUCUAUCUCUAAUCAGGACAAGAACUAUAUGAAGAUGCAAGUUUGUUCUUAUCAAAUCUUAUUACUUAAAUCUAAGUUUAAUAAUUUUUUUGGAGGAAACCACUUCUCACAGGUUUUUGUUAUCGUCAUAGGCAUCUUAUUAUAUAGUAUAUCACUUAUCCCUAUACCUGCUGCUAGCUGCCAAUUAUAUUAUUGCAAGCAACUCAAUGUACUUUGGUAUUCACUUUUGCUAUUGCAUUAUUGAUACUUAUGUUUCUCAAACUUCAUAGGCCUCCUUCAUGUCUUCUCCCUGUUCAAGUGGUGGGCUUGGGAGAUUGGCUCUUGAGAUAUCUUCUCUACGUACAUAUACUAUAAUAAAAUUCUUCAUCUAAAUCUAGCUCAUAUCAUUUAUUUUCUGAUGCUAUAUUUUUAUUUUUUAAAACCUGUGUAGGUUUUGUAAACGAAGGGAAUGAAUUCUCAUAUUACAUACUGAUAUUUUCAAAUUUCAUCCUAAACCAAUAUGUCAAUCUAUCAAGUAUAGGUUGUGAACUGAUAUCACUAUUUUAUCAGCAGCACUCAAGAAGCUAAAGAAUGGACCAUGUAGCCUUAAUACACAGCAACAGCAACUGCAAUUCUCUUUUUGACUACGAUCAACUUUGUCCUGUUUCAUUUCCCAAGAGUCAUCCCUCAAGGUGCCUAUUAUAGUAUUAUCCCAUGUUUUACAAUUAGUGUCAGUACUCCUUCACUAUGAUGUGUUUCCCACGUCUACAAAAUACGACCUUUGGAUUGAAAUAUUUAAAUUUAGUACUCAAAUGUCCUUUUUCGUUUCAAUGUGUAAUCUAAAGUUUAUUCUAUUCUCUUGGGACACUGCUAAAAAGAAAGAGUACAUCGACAACAAGAUAUAAUAUUUUAGUCACUUACAUUACAAAAUAUGAUUCUCACGUGUGCAAGACGCGAUGUUGAAAGUAUUUGUGAUAUAUGUGGUAGCAAUACUUAACGCCGGACAAAAGCCGUUUCGAACCGGCUUUAAAGAAUAGGAAUAUAUAAGAGAUAAGACUCCUUUAGUUUCGAACCGACUUGAAAUUGGGUUGCACUACAGUGCCUAAAGUAAUUUUAGUAUGCUUAAUCCACUAUUGAAAUAAUUCAGUGCUAAAUUAAUUUAGAGUGUAUGGCCAAUAAAAUUAUCUGAAUGUAUUUUUUUCAAACUGCUUAUGUUGUUUCUGGUGUAUAAUCUAAAUUUGGUUCUUGACAUCGCUAAACAUCUUUUCUUUGUUGCCUUUGCAGGCGCAAGAAGCUUUGUCAAAACAAUCUAAAGUGUUUGCCUAGUAGUAUUCUAGCACUAUUUUUUCGAUAAGCUUCAAUUUAUUUUAAAAAAAUAAUCUGAUAUAAGGCUUGUGUUCUGAUUCGAACAUCAGUUCCAAGAAGGCGACCAAGAGGAACAAACCUGAUAAGUGAAGAAAAUAGGUUCUAGAAGAACAUUGGCCUUAAUUUCAUAAUAUACUGAGGUAAGCCAUUGAAUCUCAACAUUUCCUUCUCUAAUCCAGGCAAUUGAUUAAUGUUUCCGUUAGAUUUAGAGCUCAUACAAAUCUAUGAAGAAUCCAAAACACACAUAGGUGCAUAUAUUGUUUAUUGAAAUUCAUGUCCAGUUCUAAAAUUACUUGCCUGCUGGAUGUUGUCCAGUGUUGAAAAUAACAUCGCACAUUCAUCGAUAUACUAAUGUAGCAAUAAGGAGGUAGAUUAAAUAAUAAAAUUAAUAAGAUGCACACUAUGGGUUCAUACUGAACUGUUGCCAAGCUACAAUGCAACAGGGGCCAAACAAACUACCUUAUGCUUUCAAGGGGUAAGAAAGUUUAUAAAUCUUCAUCCAUCUGAACGUCCCUGAUGCUUUGGCACCAUAUUCACUCUAGGAGAAAAACUUUUAGCAAUAAAGUAGAUGUUUAUUUCAAUGUCCUAAAAUAACAUUCUUGCCCUUUGUGUAAUAUUUCUGAAACUGUGCGCCUUUCCUUCAUCUUUCUCGAAGCUUAGAAAAUGUUUUAAAUGAAAUGUUGUUUUUUAUCUUUCGUUUGCACAUCUACACACUUUAUCUUUUUUGACACAGGACAAGUUUUUUUAAUUAGGGUCAAUAAUACCAGGCUUCAAGGUUAGACAGAUGGAGAGAAUAUAUCAAAAUGUAGACUGGAGGUCCAUGCUACUUCCUGAUGAAAUGAUCAAAUAUUGCGCACAUAAACCCUACAAAAUUUCUUUUAUGUUAUGUUUGUUUUUACAUAUGAUUUUUUUCGCUCCUUUUCUUUAUUGUGCAGAUUGGAAGUCGAGGCCACUUACUGAUGAAAUGAUUAGCUAUUGCGUAUAUAAACCCCAAUUUUGAAUUUUUUUCCAUUGUGUUUUGUAUUUGAUAAGUUUUACUUUUUGUUUGCCCCUUUUAUUUAUUGCUUACUUGCCAUCAGGUAUGCUAGACAUGAUGUACACUGUCAGCUGUACAUAUAUGACUUAAUGAGACAGAGACUACAGAGGGAGUCAUCAUAUGAAAAUGAUCUUAUAGAGGUGCAAAAAAAUUUGUACUAAUUUACAUCUUAUGUACUAGGUGCUAAGAGAAUAUAUAGUUUGAUAUUGCGGUCUCUUUUAAUGAAAUCCUAAAUUACGACCACAUAUUUUUUAA